GGAUUAGCACACAGAUCCAAACCCGGGAGGAGGCAGGCGAAAUCGGAUCCGGAAGCGAAAUGAGAUCCUAGCAGGGAGGAAAUCUCUGACUCCACAGCAGCCUUACUCUGGUCCUCUAAGAGGAAACACCACAUCUGCCCGUGGCUUCCCCUGGCGAGACAGCUGGGUGGAGAAGAGAAAGUGCCUGUUGCCAUCAAAACUGGUUUUAUGAGAAAUGCAUGCCAUUCUGCUUGGAAGAAGUUGGUGGACCAGAUGGCUCUGAGAACUUCAGCUUUUCAGAGAGACCGUGUUCUGUGGGAUCAGGAACCAUGCUUUGUUGGGACAUGUGUCUUAAAUGACAGCAUUUAGCAUCCUGUCCUAAAGAAAUCCAGGAAGCCAAAAGAAUCAAGCUCAGAGAAUGUGCUACACCAGACUCAUCUGGGUCCUGAAUACUCUUUUCAUUACU